rnacentral:rRNA from 1 species
UACGUAGGGUGCGAGCGUUGUCCGGAAUUAUUGGGCGUAAAGAGCUCGUAGGCGGUGUGUCACGUCGGCCGUGAAAACCUGCAGCUUAACUGUGGGCGUGCGGUCGAUACGGGCAUCACUGGAGUUCGGCAGGGGAGACUGGAAUUCCUGGUGUAGCGGUGAAAUGCGCAGAUAUCAGGAGGAACACCGGUGGCGAAGGCGGGUCUCUGGGCCGAUACUGACGCUGAGGCGCGAAAGCCAGGGGAGCGAACGGG